rnacentral:lncRNA from 1 species
GCAGCUGGAGCUAGGGAAACAGACCAGGCAGGCCAAUAUCAAAAGUCAGCAUGAUGCUGGGGGUUCACAAACAGGAGUCAGUUCAAGCUGGAAUAUAACUCAGCAGAGCGGUCUGGACAAGCUGUGGGUCAAAAACAAGGAGCACUACCUGGGCUGUUGUGGUGUGAGUCAAGAGGCCAGGACAGAAGGGGUUAAAUCAGGUCCAGAUCAACCCUGCUCAGUCUUCAGAAAACAACAGAAAGCAAAGGCAAUAGCUCCGCUGGACAGAGGCAGCCAGAGCAUGACUGAGAGGCUGGGAGGAGAGGUUCAUCAUUUUCAAUAUGAAUAUUAUCCUGCUCGUGGAAUAUGGCUAUCACUCUGCAACAGAAAAGUUGCUGAAAAUAUGAAAUUGUGGAUCUUCCAUCUGCACAUGGGGAAAGGAGCUUCAUAUGCACUGAGACCAAGAGACUAAAUGAUAUUUCAUCAAAGCUUAUUAAAAAUUUUUAAAUGAUCAAAGGUGCUCUAAGAGAAAUGUAAAAUCAGAAUAUUUUUGAAAGAUGUAUCAGUCACCUAAAAAGAGCAAAAGUAAUUGAUCAACAGUCUACAAUAUGUCAAGAAAAAUAGAGGAAGGCCCCCUGAGCAUAUUGUUCUUAUCCCCUUUGUGAAUUUCCAGGAGGAUGUAAAUGGAAAUUAUAUUGUAUGAGCAGGCAUGAAUGAAUUGCAAUAUGCAUCACAAUAAGGAAUAAUCACAAAAGACCAUUGAUGACUGAAUUAGAGGAAAAGUAAUUGGAAUUGAAAAUAAUAAUACAUAUUAAUUAUAUCUGGAGAAAUAUUAUUUUAUUCAAUAGCUCAAGGUACGAAAAAAACAGUUUUAUUUGCUGUAAAAAAAAAAAAACAAACAAGCAAGGAAGAACCUGUUUGUAUUUUCUUGUAUGGAUAGUAGCAAGGAACAUUUCAUUACAGAUAUAUUCCAGUGGCCAUUUUACCUUAAUCCUAGUCAUCACCAAUUAUUAGCAUAAAAAUAGAUUAUUUUAUUCAAUUUACAGGUCAACACAGCAUUCUCUUAUCAAGAAGAGAUUUGGUUUUCAAAAAUUAUUCUUUUAUGUCUAUGUA